GCUUACGGCCAUACCAGCCUGNNUACGCCCGAUCUCGUCCGAUCUCGGAAGCUAAGCAGGGUCGGGCCUGGUUAGUACUUGAAUGGGAGACCACCUGGGAAUACCAGGUGCUGUAAGCUU
rnacentral:rRNA from 1 species